rnacentral:rRNA from 1 species
AGUGAACGCUGGCGGUAGGCCUAACACAUGCAAGUCGAACGGCAGCACAGUAAGAGCUUGCUCUUACGGGUGGCGAGUGGCGGACGGGUGAGGAAUACAUCGGAAUCUACUUUUUCGUGGGGGAUAACGUAGGGAAACUUACGCUAAUACCGCAUACGACCUACGGGUGAAAGCAGGGGAUCUUCGGACCUUGCGCGAUUGAAUGAGCCGAUGUCGGAUUAGCUAGUUGGCGGGGUAAAGGCCAACCAAGGCGGCGAUCCGUAGCUGGUCUGAGAGGAUGGUCGGCCACACUGGAACUGAGACACGGACCAGACUCCUACGGGAGGCAGCAGUGGGGAAUAUUGGACAAUAGGCGCAAGCCUGAUCCAGCCAUACCGCGUGGGUGAAGAAGGCCUUCGGGUUGUAAAGCCGUUUUGUUGGGAAAGAAAAGCAGCAGGUUAAUACCCCGCUGUUCUGACGGUACCCAAAGAAUAAGCACCGGCUAACUUCGUG